rnacentral:sRNA from 1 species
GAUUUGCGUGAAGGUUAGCAGCGAAAAUCCUUUUUUAGGGCUUUUUUUGCCCAAAAAAGAUUGCAGCGAAUAGCCUGGUCGCCG